UCCGGUUUGGCACCGGCAGUCCUCCCAGAGUCCCCGACUUCACUCGCUGGCAACUGGGAGCGGGGGUUGCGCUCGUUGCGGGACUUAACCCAACAUCUCACGACACGAGCUGACGACAGCCAUGCAGCACCUGUGCACGGACUCCGAAGAGGGGCCGAUGUUUCCACCGGCUUUCCCGUGCAUGUCAAGCCCAGGUAAGGUUCUUCGCGUUGCUUCGAAUUAAUCCGCAUGCUCCGCCGCUUGUGCGGGUCCCCGUCAAUUCCUUUGAGUUUUAGCCUUGCGGCCGCACUCCCCAGGCGGGGUGCUUAAUGCGUUAGCUGCGGCACGGAAGGAGUCGACACCUCCCACACCUAGCACCCAUCGUUUACGGCGUGGACUAC
rnacentral:misc_RNA from 1 species